UACAGAGGUCUCAAGCGUUGUUCGGAUUCAUUGGGCGUAAAGGGUGUGUAGGUGGCGCCGUAAGUCGGGUGUGAAAUUUCGAGGCUUAACCUCGAAACUGCAUUCGAUACUGCGGUGCUUGAGGACUGGAGAGGAGACUGGAAUUCAUGGUGUAGCAGUGAAAUGCGUAGAGAUCAUGAGGAAGACCGGUGGCGAAGGCGGGUCUCUGGACAGUUCCUGACACUGAGACACGAAGGCCAGGGGAGCAAACGGG
rnacentral:rRNA from 1 species